UGAAUUAGACAUGCAAACAUUUGGGAAAAUGUUCAUGAAGAAAAAGCAAAGAACAGGGAAGAGUGUGUCUCAGGUCAUGUUGAGAGUCCAGUACUUUUGGGAAGGGAGAAGGAAAGGGAGCUGAGCAGGAAAAGUCACAGAACGGAGCAAUUCUAAGCUGGAUUCUGCCAGAACCGUGGGGAGUGUUUGUGGAAGUCCUUGGUCUCCAGCAAUGGGCCUGAUUACUGGAUUCGCUGGGCUCUUGUAGGAGUCUGGAGCAGUCCCCAGGUGAGGAAAUCUUAUUUUUAGUUCUUGUCUUACACACUUAAAAAUGAGGCUUGAAGAGAUUAAAUAAAACCUUAAAAGGCAGGUAGAGAGUUGAAGUUUCUGAAGGAAGACAAGGGAGCAGGACCAAGACCACUCCAGGGAGGCCUUCUGAGCUUGUUGUACAUUUCCCAUCCACUCCUCAGACUGUUUUUCCCAGACAACAAAAAGUAUCAUCUGAAAUGUUACCAGAUUUUAAUGAGACUUCUGGUGCUGAAAGAAAACAAAACUUAAGUGAAGAUCAAGAGGAGAAACAGAAACCAAGAGUGAAUGAAGGGUUUAAACCAGUAUCUCAAGGACGAAUGAAGAAGUUAAGGAAACAGAAACAAAGGGAAGAACAAAGAGAACUCCGCAAACAAAAGUGGAAAGAAAAAUGCAAGGGAAAGAAAUUAGAAUGACAAUGUCAACUGGAAUCAAACCCAGAUGGAAAUGACAGAAAACGUGUUCAAAGACAAGUCAUCCAGAGCACACUCUGCCUUGUCAUUGACUGCCAUUUUGAUGAUUUGAUGGUCUUACAGGAUAUUAAGAAACUUCAUAGGCAGAUUCAGCGAUCUUAUGCAGAAAACCAAAGAGCAUUGCACCCCAGCAGAUUUUCUUGACAAGCCAUGGAGGCCAGCUGAAAAGGAACAUGGAUGACAAUGACAAAGGAUGGGUCAACUGGAAGGAUAUCCACAUCAAACCAGAGCUCUGUAGUGAACUCAUAAAAAAAGAAGACCUUGUGUAUCUUACAUCAGAUUCCCCUAACACACUGCAGGAAUUAGAUGAGUCAAGGGCCUAUGUGAUUGGAGGAUUGGCAGACCACAACCAUCACAAGGGAUUCACGUAGAAACAAGAUCGGAUUAUGGGAUUGAUCAUGCUCAGCUCCCCCACAGAAAUUCUGUGAAGAUGAACAGUCGGAAAGGUCUGACAGUUGAUCAUGUAUUUGAGAUUAUCCUGGAAUACCUGCAAACAAGAGACUGGCAAGAAGCAUUUUUUUACUAUCUUACCCCAGCGGAAAGGAGCUGUCUCCACAGACAAAGCCUGUGACAGUUCCUCCCAGGACCAGCAGGGUGCUGGGGCUGAAGGUGGACUGGACAGUGAGGCGGAAUGCUGCAGGAAUCAACCGGAUUCCCCACAUCCAGAGGACGCGCAGGAUGAGGAAAGCCACUGAGUCCACACUCAUUUGAUGAAAGCCAUAAUUCCAAGAAGAGGUGAUGACAUCCUGCUUGAGAUACACAAAGGCCUUCAUCUGUCAGCACCAUGUGGAAAACCAAGAAACUCUAAUGAUGAGAAUGUAAAAUCAGGCUGCACAGAUACAUAACAACUAUUCCACCCAAGAUUAAACAGAGCAGAACAUAAGUUAGGGCUUUCAAAAGAUCAUUUGAUUACUUGCACAGACCAGAGCUUGGAGGAGGCCCUCACCCACCACCCACCUGCCAGGAAGAUCCCAACAGUUGUAGGUCUCAAACCACCAAUUCUGACCUGGUCCUGCACCUUGCUUCUCCUCAGCACAAGGGCACAGUGGUGACACCCAAACAACCAACCAUCACCCUGGAGAAGAGGAAAACCUGAAAGCAUCAGCUGCUUUAGGGAGAAAUAACAGAUGGGCCAGGGGUGCUGGCCCCAAGAAAAGCCCA
ensembl:lncRNA